GGGUUAGCGUUGUUUGAAGUCCAGCAAGGUCCAGCGACAUCCGGUCCCAAGGGACUCAUAAUCCGUUGGUCGCUGGUUCAAGCCCAGCACGGCCUACCA
rnacentral:tRNA from 1 species